rnacentral:rRNA from 1 species
GCUUACGGCCAUACCACCCUGAGCGCGCCCGAUCUCGUCUGAUCUCGGAAGCUAAGCAGGGUCGGGCUUGGUUAGUACUUGGAUGGGAGAACGCCUGGGAAUACCAGGUGCUGUAAGCU